UGUGGGAAAGACCUUUCACAGAUCAUGCAACUGCCUGAAGUGAUUGAAAAGGUCCAGGGCUAAUUGUUUGUCCCUGUCUCUUCUUYAGAGUAAAAAGAGGAGGGAAUAUCACCACUUUCCCUAUGGACUUUGGACUUGGACCCUGUAUUCCGGGCUGAGCUGUCAAGCAAAGAGCAAGAAGAAUCCAGCCCAUCUCAUGUGAG